AUGCUAAUAAAAGCAGGGAUAGGGAUACAAGAUAAUAGCACAUAUAAAUACAUCAAAAUGGCAAUUGUCAAAAAAUUGGGAUAAAAAAUAAGGAUAAGGAACAGUGAGUAUACCAGAUAGCUACUAUCUCAUAUUCUUUUGUGAAUGUGAGUAUUUUCUUGUACAACUUCUUUGUUUAAAAAAUUUUGGUAAAAUUAAGAAGUGUUAAAGAAAUAAAAUAUAGAACAUGAUGGCUAAUGAAGAUGAAAGGAUAAAUUCUUUCUCUUAUUUGUUUGUUGCUUAUAUGUUAUAUUGGCCUCAAAGCACGGCUUGUAUUUAGUUUCCUUAUUGCAUCAGGG
rnacentral:misc_RNA from 1 species